AUGAUCAUACUUCAUAGGAUCAAUUCUAUAGUGUGAUGACCGAGUUCCUUGUCCGAAACUUGGAAUGAAUCCAACCACGAGGAUGAGUCUCAGUGUGAACCUGUGAGCGGGAAGCGGCCCAUUAGCUCUUGCUAAUGGGCAUUGAUGACUGUUCUCUCCCACAUUAGUGGGAGUGGAGCAGGUUCACACAGGCUGAGUGGC
rnacentral:snoRNA from 1 species